rnacentral:rRNA from 1 species
GACGAACGCUGGCGGCGUGCCUAAUACAUGCAAGUCGAACGCAGUGGGGACGGGUGAGUAACACGUUGGUAACCUUCCCAUCAGAGGGGAUAACACUUUGAAACCGGUGCUAAACCGAUACUGCUGGAUGGACCCGCGGUGCAUUCGCUAGUUGGGGAGGUAACGGCUCACCACGGCCACGAUGCAUCGCCGACCUGAGAGGGUGAUCGGCCACACUGGGACGGAGACACGGCCCAGACUCCUACGGGAGGCAGAAGUAGGGAAUCUUCGGCAAUGGACGAAAGGCUGACCGAGCAACGCCGCGUGAGUGAAGAAGGUUUUCGGAUCGUAAAACUCUGUUGUUAGAGAAGCGGUAUCUAACCAGAAAGCCACGGCUAACUACGUGCCAGCAGCCGCGGUAAUAC